AAACAAAACAAAACAAAACGAAAACAUAAUACCGAUUAUCAUUCACUAAUUAUGCGGCGUGGUUUCUUCUGGAAAAUAUAUAUACAACAAUCCUUCAAAUGCAUGUGGAUUGUGAGAGAUUAACAAACAUGGGCACCAAUUCAGAGAACAAAUAAAUAAAUGGUGCCCCAAGGUAAUAAAUCUUAUGGUUCAGAAAACGGGUACUGCAGUGAAAACUACAUAUUGCAGCAGUUCAUGCAAGUAUCCAACUAAUAUAAAACAUAAGCAUUGCAAGUAAAACUGCUCUCUCGAAGGCCUCAAUCUGUCAUUAGGCAUAGUGACAUUACAUUUAGCAUAGCAAAAAGUAUCCAACAACCAGUUUUGUUCAUACUACCAAGCUUUAAGGCUGCUUCCAUAACAAAUCUAAACAAUAAUUGGAAUGAUUCAAACCUACUAUGUCCAUUCCCACCCAUUGACACCUGAGCUGGGGCUUGGGCGAGCAAAUCCAAUAAAAACUCAUUGCAUAGCAAGAAAAUUCAUCACUUUGAAUAUAUACAAAUUAAAUAUGCUCGAAGGCAGCUUUAUAAGCAAGAAAAUAUGAUUUUAGAUGAUAUGAAGGCACCGUCUAACCUGGACACUUCAUUUGUUUGGUUUUUCUAGUGAAAUCUAUACUUUCUCUUUGGCAAUCCAUGCAGCAGAGCCAGACACAUGCUUAAAGCUACUGUGUCACUAGAACUUACAAGCUCAGAACAGCACCAAAAACCAACUCCAUUGAAGAUCAGCUUGAGUCUCCAAAAGCCUAUCACUUUAAGUCAAGGUAAUCAAACACAAAUAAAAAGCGUACAUGUAAAUGAUUCAGAGAAGCAAGUUCAAUCCAACCACUUCCUGCCUUUCUGAGGUGAAAUCAAGUUCAUGGAUGACCUAACAACCAGAAAUCCUACCUAGAAAAAUAAAAAAUCUCCACAUUUGGUAGACAAGACAAGGCAAUGAAAAUUGGCUCAUGUGCCUAGAAAAGGGAAAAAUUAGAAGCAGCACACAAUGUAAGAACCAAACUCUUGUAAACUCCUAAUUCCAAAUUUAAAUCUCCACCUAUGUCUAGCUUUUUUGAAGUGGCAGCAUGAUAUUGGAGUAAAACAAUUAUGUAUUGCCUCCCCCAUCCUCAAGAGAACAAAACAUAAAGAAAAAGAUACAGAAUUUCCAUAUCAGCAAGUGCUGAAAUCAGAUAUAUAAUUAUGAAGAAAACAAUCUCCAGAAAUAGCAAUUAAGAAUCUGCAAUGUUGAAGCUGUCUUUGAAACUGAAAAGCCAGUUUUGAAAUAAUUGAACCAGAUAUUCUAUAGUGGUAUCACUGCCAAAGUUCCGGAAGCAAAAGAUACUCCUCAUAAGUUGCAGUGAAGGUGUCACAACAAUCCUCUCGAUGAGGAGAUGCAUUUAGCUGAGAAAGAGGCUUUGGCAAAUUACAUUGAUUUGUCUAAUGCUAAAGAAAAAUUUAAAUGACAGAAAUCAAGAGCGCAGCGGCUUGCUUCAGGUGACAGUAACACUAAGCUUUUUCAUAAGAAAGUGGCUUCUCAUAUGAUGAGAAACAAAAUUCUCAACAUUUCUGAUGAGCAAGGCAAUAGAUUGGUGGAACGUAAAGCUAUCAAGGAGAAAGUUGUUAGCAAGGUUGUUAAAAUCGGGAUCCUAAGUAGGAUCGGUGAGAGGGUCUGGUAGAUCGGAUCGUAGGAUCGGAUCGAAAAUCGUAAGAUCUUACUUUCUAUUAAAAAAAAAGAUAAAAAUUAAAAUUACAAUGAUACAUAUUAAAAAUAAGGUGAAAAAUCAUAAAAUCUACGAUCCUACUUGCGAUCCUACCUACGAUCCUAUACGAUCCCAUACGAUCCUACACGAUCCCAUGCAAUCCUACACGAUCCUACUUGCGAUCCUGUUAUAACAUCGAUCCUACAACGAUCUGGAUCGUUUUGGCAAAGUAGGAUCGUACGAUCCUACAAUCCGGAUCGCGAUUUUAACAACCAUGGUUGUUAGAUUCUACAAAUACUUGCUUGGUACUCAAAAUCCCCUAGUGACGCCGGAGAAUAGUAUGCUAAAUAUUUUGAAUUUGGCAAAAGUACCAGGGCUUUUUAAGGUUGCCUUAAUUGCUCCAGUUUCUAACAAAGAAGUUAAAAAGGCAAUGUUUUCAAUUAUGGGAGAUAAAGCACCUGGCCCUGAUGGGUAUAAUACUUCUUUUUAUCACACAAAUUGGCAUGUUGUGGGUGGUGACGAUGUGUCCAAAGCUGUCCAAGCUUUCUUUACCAAUAGUUUUAUGCUUAAAGAAUGGAAUGCCACUACUGUAACUUUAACCCCCAAGACAUAUUGCCCAAACACAUUGAAGGAUUUCGGGCCCCCUAUAUCUUGUUGCAAUGUUCACUACAAAUGUAUUUAGAAAAAUCUGGUAAGCAGACUUGGUUCUGGGCAGUCUUAUUAGUUCACCAACCCAAUCUGCCUUUGUUAAAGGCAGGUCUAUUGCUGAUAGCAUUCUAUUGAUGCAAGAGUAAGAAACUAAUCAUGGAAAUGACUUCCCUGCCAGGUGUGCCAUAAAGAUAGGUAUCAUGAAGCAUAUGAUUCUGUCAGUAGGGAGUUUUUGUUGAAAAUUAUGGCCGCCAUGGAUUUCCCAGUUAAAUUCAUCAAUUGGAUUUUUCAAUGUGUAACUACUGCUAGCUACUAUUUUGUUGUGAAUGGGGAGUUGGCGGGGUUACUUCAAGGGACAGAAAGGGUGAAGGCAAUGGGAUCUAUUUCCCCUUGUCUUUUUCUUAUAGUAACGGAAGGUCUUUUUGGUCUCUUAAACUACAUAAUGUCAGCUAUGGCAGUUCUCAUACCACCCUAAAUGUCAAGCUUUGAACGUCACAAAAAUAUAUCCUUUGCAGAUAAUCUCUCUGUGGUUUGUGAUGCAGAUAACAAGUCUUUUAGCCUUAUCAAGGCCACUCUGGAUCAAUAUCACCUCUUGUCAGGACUCCAACCAAAUCUUCAUGAAAGUGCAAUUUUUAUUUUUAUUUAUAUUUUUUUUCAGAAGUCUCUCCAAUUUUGAAUAAUGAACCAUUAUUAAUCUGACCAAUUCCUGAAGGGAAGCUUCCAGUGAGAUAUUUAGGGGUCCCUCUUAUAUCUACAAGGCUGAAAUAUGAAGAUUGUAUCCAGUUGAAGGACAAAAUAUAUGCUAGAAUUCAAUCCUGGGUGAAUAAGUUGCUAUCUUAUAGGGGGAGGGUUCAGUUAAUGCAAUCAGUGUUGUAUAGUGUACAAAUCUAUUGGAACUCUCUUUUUAUCCUUUCCCAGAGAAUCUUUAAAAAAUAGAAAGCAUGCUUAGAGCUUUUCUAUGGACUGGGUCAGAUUUGAAGCAAACAGGUGCUAAACUUCAGUGGGCUAAACAUAAGUGCACCCAACUAAGAAGGGGGAGUGGGUUUCAGCAAGCAUAAUUUUGGAAUAGAGCUAAUAUGUUGAAACACCUAUGGUCCACCUGUAAGAAAGUUAACUCUCUUCGGAUCAAGUGAAUGCAUACAUACAUAAUAAAUGGCCAAUGCUUCUGGUCUAUAUUAGACCCUCCUACUGAUACAUCUGUACUACAAGACAAUUUUCCAAGCUCAGAACGAUUGGACAGCAAUUUAUUAAGCACAAAAUAGGUAAUGGAAGAUCUACUUUUUCAUGGCUUGACAAUUGGCAUCCUAUAAACCCUCUCUAUCAACAGUUUUGGGAUAGCAUUGUACAAAACCUUGGCAGAGCUCUGGAUGCUAAGGUUACUGAAAUAGUUAAUGUUGACGGAUGGGAAUGACCUAGAAUGAGGAAUAGAGGUAUUCAACAAGUCAUUACACCAUAACUCUUCCAAACUUUCUGCCAAAUCUAACAAGAAAUGAUGAGAUUGUAUGGCUGCCUUCAAUCAGUGGUACCUAUUCCUCUGAAUCUGCUUGGGAGGCCCUUAGAUCAGUGAAGAAGGAAGUCACUUAGUAUCAUGUAGUCUGGUUUAAAGGGUAUGUUCCUAAAUGGGCAUUUAUCCAUUGGCUUAUCUGCUGGCAGCGGUUAAUAACUAAAGAUAAAAAUGGGGCAUGCAUGUUGAUCCUAAAUGCAGUUUAUGUAGUGUUGUGGAUGAGAGUCAUGAACAUCAUUUCUUCCCAUGUCCUUUUUCCAAAGACCUUUGGAGUAAAAUGCUUCAAGUGAAUCAUAUUAAUAGAGAUCAUAUAGGCUGGUCAGGCGAGCUUCAAUGGGUUAUCUCUCAAGCAAAUAGUAGGAAUUUGAGUAAUGUCAUAACCAAACUUUCUCUAGUUUGUACUUUGUAUCAUAUAUUGUUAGAAAGGAACAACAAAGUCUUCAACUAAACACCAGGAUCUGAUUCUGCAUGAAAUAAUGAGGGAUAUACGAGCCAGAACCUAUUCUCUAAAGGGGAUUAAAAGUAAUAUGCAGAAUUGGCAAGUCUGUAUGGAUUGGGGGAUCCCUUCCUCUAUCCUGCAAAGCUAAAAUAGUCUUAGUUUUUGUUUUUUCCUUAGUGUUGUGCAAUGGAUCACCCUUUUUUUAAUUACUAGUCAAAACCCAUGUAACGGGUACAAAACUCUUAAAAUUUCAGGUAUACUUAUAUGGGAAGCAACAUACAACUGCUGCCAUCGUGCAUCCUACUCUGCCAUAAUAAUGUACUUGUGUGUGUCAAUGGAUUUGUGUUUGCCAGUGUUGUCAGACGUAUCGUCUAUCGUUAUAUCUCUUUUAUGUAUUAUGUAUCGUAUCAUAUUGUGUAUCGUAAGUUACACUAACAUAUAUAAAUAUAGAUAAAAAAAUAAGUAUUUUCAUAUCAUCAUAUAAAUAUAUUGCAAAAAUAAACUACUAAAUCAUAUAACCAAUGACCAAAUUGGUCAAAAAGGUAUAUAUAAAUUUAAUCAAAUUAGAUUCAUGACAGUACUUUAAUUUCUUCUAGCAAAAAGAGUAUUAGAGUCAUUUUUUCUUGUGAGUUUAUUUGAAGUUGGGUCUCCUUUGUAUGGGAAUUUUUUGAUAAUACAGUUUAUUCAAUGAGUGUCAUCUAUGGUGAUUGAUGGUGAGAAAGUAGCCAAUGAGGCCAAAGGUGAACAAGAAUGUAAAACUUAUUUAAUCGUGCGAUACAAGUUGAAUCGCGAUAACAUACAAAAUCCUGCGAUAUAGAAACAUAUCUCAUGAUUCAAGUCACCAAUGAUACAAGUCUGUGAUUUGUAUCUUUUUUCCUACAAUAUGAUUAUCGUAUGAUUUUGGCAACACUGGUGCCUGUGUGUGACUCUGUGUGUGUGUGUGUGUAAGAGAGAGAGAGAGAGAGAGAGAGAGAGAGAGAUCUUGCAGUAAAAUUAUAAAAACAGAAGUCAUAUUCAAUGAUGACGGGACAUUAUAGACCCCUACAUAAGUUCUGAAAAAAUAUUAUAUGAACAAUUUCCUCAGAAAGACACAUUAAAUACAUUUAACAGAUCAUAAAUGCGGAAGAU